rnacentral:rRNA from 1 species
UGCAGUCGAACGGUAGCAGGAAGUGCUUGCACUUUGCUGACGAGUGGCGGACGGGUGAGUAAUACUUAGGAACAUGCCUUUGUGUGGGGGAUAACCAUUGGAAACGAUGGCUAAUACCGCAUAACGUCUUCGGACCAAAGGGGGCUUCGGCUCCCGCGCAAAGAGUAGCCUAAGCGAGAUUAGCUUGUUGGUGAGGUAAAGGCUCACCAAGGCGACGAUCUCUAGCUGUUCUGAGAGGAAGAUCAGCCACACUGGAACUGAGACACGGUCCAGACUCCUACGGGAGGCAGCAGUGGGGAAUAUUGCACAAUGGGGGAAACCCUGAUGCAGCCAUGCCGCGUGUGUGAAGAAGGCCUUCGGGUUGUAAAGCACUUUCAGUUGUGAGGAAAGGUUAACGGUUAAUACCCGUUAGCUGUGACGUUAGCAACAGAAGAAGGACCGGCUAACUCCGUGCCAGCAGCCGCGGUAAUACGGAGGGUCCGAGCGUUAAUCGGAAUUACUGGGCGUAAAGCGCACGCAGGCGGUUUGUUAAGCUAGAUGUGAAAGCCCUGGGCUCAACCUGGGAAUUGCAUUUAGAACUGGCAGGCUAGAGUUUUGGAGAGGGGAGUGGAAUUCCAGGUGUAGCGGUG